AUUGAACGCUGGCGGCAUGCUUUACACAUGCAAGUCGAACGGCAGCACAGGGAGCUUGCUCCUGGGUGGCGAGUGGCGAACGGGUGAGUAAUGUAUCGGAACGUGCCUGGUAGUGGGGGAUAACUACUCGAAAGAGUGGCUAAUACCGCAUGAGAUCUUUGGAUGAAAGCGGGGGACCUUCGGGCCUCGUGCUACUGGAGCGGCCGAUAUCAGAUUAGGUUGUUGGUGGGGUAAAGGCCUACCAAGCCUGCGAUCUGUAGCUGGUCUGAGAGGACGACCAGCCACACUGGGACUGAGACACGGCCCAGACUCCUACGGGAGGCAGCAGUGGGGAAUUUUGGACAAUGGGCGCAAGCCUGAUCCAGCAAUGCCGCGUGCAGGACGAAGGCCUUCGGGUUGUAAACUGCUUUUGUACAGAACGAAAAGUCUCUGGCUAAUAGCUAGAGAUCAUGACGGUACUGUAAGAAUAAGCACCGGCUAACUACGU
rnacentral:rRNA from 1 species